AAAGAUGAGACAAAAGGACUGCUGGGAAAUAACAUGCGACCGCUGCAGCCGGUACACCACAGGACUGUGCGCACCAACGUCAACUUCUCCAAUGCUGGACAGAAACUGUGUCCGUCCAUGCAACAUCAGAUGUUCUACAAAGCCAACUGGCCAGGUCGGUGACCUGCGCACCGACGACAGCCGCGGCCUCGGAGCGGAGCCAUGCGGGUCUUAGAUGCGAACUCAACAGCGGCGAGUUAUUUUGUCCCAGGUGUAUUGAAUGCACUGUGCUGUUCAUAUCAUGGAGCGUUGUGGCAGGUAUUGCCUUUUUGUAGCAAUAAAUGUGCGUAAGUGUGAGACAGUUGAUGUGGCUGUGUGUGCAAUGUUACUUGAAACACUUGUGCGGCCGUUGAUGUUGCUGUGUGUGCUAGACGAUUGGAAACAUGUAUACGGCGUCCCGAAACCUUGAGUUUCAUUUCCAGUAAUGCUAAAUAACCAGGAAACCAGCUUCUACAAUGUCUCUUUAAAUUACCGAGUCAUCGGUUUCAAAAAGGUGUCAAAGGAUAUCACUGUCCGACAUUCUCAUAAUUUAGCCGUGUGCCAUGUUAUCACAACAGUUGCGGGGUGUACUUUAACAAAAUGCUAUUAUUUCCGUGUCUGGAAGAAUAAUAUGGAUAAAGUUGGUUGUA